rnacentral:misc_RNA from 1 species
UCCGGUUUGUCACCGGCAGUCUCGCAUGAGUCCCCAACUAAAUGCUGGCAACUGCGGAUGGGGGUUGCGCUCGUUGCGGGACUUAACCCAACAUCUCACGACACGGGCUGACGACAGCCAUGCAGCACCUGUGUGCAGGUCCCCGAAGGGAAGGAAUCCAUCUCUGGAAGCCGUCCUGCCAUGUCAAGAGCUGGUAAGGUUCUUCGCGUUGCGUCGAAUUAAACCACAUGCUCCACCGCUUGUGCGGGCCCCCGUCAAUUCCUUUGAGUUUUAGCCUUGCGGCCGUACUCCCCAGGCGGGGUGCUUAAUGCGUUAGCUUCGGCACGGACGGGGUCGAUAUCCGCCCACACCUAGCACCCAACGUUUACGGCUAGGACUAC